rnacentral:rRNA from 1 species
CUGGAGGUAUCAGAAGUGCGAAUGCUGACAUAAGUAACGAUAAAGCGGGUGAAAAGCCCGCUCGCCGGAAGACCAAGGGUUCCUGUCCAACGUUAAUCGGGGCAGGGUGAGUCGACCCCUAAGGCGAGGCCGAAAGGCGUAGUCGAUGGGAAACGGGUUAAUAUUCCCGUACUUGGUGUUACUGCGAAGGGGGGACGGAGAAGGCUAUGUUGGCCGGGCGACGGUUGUCCCGGUUUAAGCGUGUAGGUGUGUGUUCCAGGUAAAUCCGGUUCACUUUAACACUGAGGCGUGACGACGAGGCACUACGGUGCUGAAGCAACAAAUGCCCUGCUUCCAGGAAAAGCCUCUAAGCAUCAGGUAACAUCAAAUCGUACCCCAAACCGACACAGGUGGUCAGGUAGAGAAUACCAAGGCGCUUGAGAGAACUCGGGUGAAGGAACUAGGCAAAAUGGUGCCGUAACUUCGGGAGAAGGCACGCUGACACGUAGGUGAAGUGAUUUACUCAUGGAGCUGAAGUCAGUCGAAGAUACCAGCUGGCUGCAACUGUUUAUUAAAAACACAGCACUGUGCAAACACGAAAGUGGACGUAUACGGUGUGACGCCUGCCCGGUGCCGGAAGGUUAAUUGAUGGGGUCAGCGCAAGCGAAGCUCCUGAUCGAAGCCCCGGUAAACGGCGGCCGUAACUAUAACGGUCCUAAGGUAGCGAAAUUCCUUGUCGGGUAAGUUCCGACCUGCACGAAUGGCGUAAUGAUGGCCAGGCUGUCUCCACCCGAGACUCAGUGAAAUUGAACUCGCUGUGAAGAUGCAGUGUACCCGCGGCAAGACGGAAAGACCCCGUGAACCUUUACUAUAGCUUGACACUGAACAUUGAGCCUUGAUGUGUAGGAUAGGUGGGAGGCUUUGAAGCGUGGACGCCAGUCUGCGUGGAGCCGACCUUGAAAUACCACCCUUUAAUGUUUGAUGUUCUAACGUGGACCCGUUA